rnacentral:rRNA from 1 species
UUCCGGUUGAUCCUGCCGGACCUGACUGCUAUCGGAUUGAUACUAAGCCAUGCGAGUCUUUGCAGUAAUGCAAGGCGGACUGCUCAGUAACACGUAGUCAACUUAACCUAUGGAUGGGUAUAACCUCGGGAAACUGAGAAUAAUUCCCAAUAGAUCAUUUAUCCUGGAAUGGUUGAUGAUUGAAAUGAUUCGUCGCCAUAGGAUGGGACUGCGGCCUAUCAGCUUGUUGGUGAGGUAAAGGCCCACCAAGGCUAUUACAGGUACGGGCUCUGAGAGGAGAAGCCCGGAGAUGGGUACUGAGACACGGACCCAGGCCCUAUGGGGCGCAGCAGGCGAGAAAACUUUGCAAUGUGCGAAAGCACGACAAGGUUAAUCCGAGUGAUUUCUGCUAAAGAAAUCUUUUGCCAGUUCUAAAAAUACUGGUGAAUAAGGGGUGGGCAAGUUCUGGUGUCAGCCGCCGCGGUAAAACCAGCACCUCAAGUUGUCAGGAGGAUUAUUGGGCCUAAAGCAUCCGUAGCCGGCUCUGUGAGUUUUCGGUUAAAUCCAUAUGCUCAACAUAUGGGCUGUCGGAAAUACUGCAGAGCUAGGGAAUGGGAGAGGUAGACGGUACUCGGUAGGAAGGGGUAAAAUCCUUUGAUCUAUCGAUGACCACCUGUGGCGAAGGCGGUCUACCAGAACAUGUUCGACGGUGAGGGAUGAAAGCUGGGGGAGCAAACCGGAUUAGAUACCCGGGUAGUCCCAGCUGUAAACGAUGCAGACUAGAUGAUGCAUUAGCAUAUAGCUAGUGCAGUGUCUCAGGGAAGCCGUUAAGUCUGCCGCCUGGGAAGUACGUACGCAAGUAUGAAACUUAAAGGAAUUGGCGGGGGAGCACCACAAGGGGUGAAGCCUGCGGUUCAAUUGGAUUCAACGCCGGG